AGAUUUCUGCAGAAGAGGAGGACGAAGGUCGCCCACGGACCCUCGGGUGACCUCGGUGCGGCCUGGUGGCCGGGCACACCCGCGCAUGGACGAGGUCCCUCCCAGGGGUCUCCCUGCAGGGGUCUCCGGGGAGGUAGUGGGCACGUGGGUCCUUAACCUCUCCAUUGCAUCAUCCCCAUCCCGGUGGGUACAGAAGCGCAGCAACCCCGCGGUGCUCCCGGAAGACACCGCGUCUCCAACAUUUACACGGAGAUGCUGCUCGGCUCAGGUCGGGUCCGUACGCUUCCCGAGGUGCGUACUACGCGAGCCACACACAUCACUACCGAUAUUCCUGAGAAAGUCGGUGCCACACCUGAACCAAAAACGCACCAGGGCGCGCGUGCCCAGGCACCAAGGCCAGAGAAACCGCACGUUUCGAGUCCCCAGUUGCUGAGAAACAAUCACAGCCCUCCUCUUUUCUCCCCCUUCUGCAGGUUCCGACCUGAAUCUGAAAGUGCUUCUAAACCCCAUGCUUCACAGAACGUUCGGAGGGGGAGGCGCUCCGUGGGGGCUGCUGCGUGCCCAUGUAGCCGAACUGACUCGAAUAAAAGCGUGUCCACGUCUACAUCACACAUCUGUGUAAAUGCAGAAGCCUGCGGAUGCGCGGGGCUGGCCAGACUUCACAGUGUGCAGACACAUGGGCUCAUGCACGCGCACGCGCGCGCUCACACACACACCCCAAAUUACCUCCGGGAUGGAGAAAGCCGCUGCGGAUUGGCCAGCAGAGCCGUCACUCACGCCCAGGGGGCAGGGAGACUUCGCAAAGCUGUUUCCUUUUUUUUUUUUCCUCCUCUCCUCCCUACCGUUUCAUUUAAUGGUAAAACAACAGCAGAGCUCUGAAAGUUAGCCAUCUGCGCAGAGUUUGCCUUCUUUAAGGAGGGAGGCGUCAGACGAUAUCCAUUUAAAUAUAUUUUGUACUUCCACAAAGGAUGGAAAGGGAAAUUCACGAAGGGAGUGGAGGCGGAAAGGGAGCUCCGAGAAAGAAGGAGGGGUCAUUCCGCGGGGGGCGGGGGGGGGGGCGGGGGCCGACGCAGGGGAAAGAGUUGCUCUCUACACCGAAAAGGGACUUUGACCUUCCAUUGAUCUCGAAAUUCAAAAACGUUUCUUCACAGGUCAGAUUGUAACAAACACUCGUUCCUAAUUUAUGAACUCGCCGUUUUGAUUUUAUUAUUUAAGCAUGCGCCAGCAAUCGUGUUUCCUUAAGAAAGAACUGACCUAUUUUUGGCUGGAGAUAAACGAUCAUGUUAACAGAUGUUAAUCUUGUAAUCUGUUUUUCCUGUAAGCACUUUACCUAGCCGGGUUUCAGACCUUAAAAAUAACAUCUUUUCCAAAAAGACCUGACGUCACAAUUCACUCCCUGAAAAAUCACACUCCCCCUCCAGUUUCUUCCCCUGCAAUGAUUUCAAAGACAUUAAAUCUUUUCCACUUUAUAAAUGCUGAUCUGUUCUGCCUCUACUCCCACAGGCUCUUAUUUGCAUUUCAAAUUCCACAGGUUACACCAGUCGCCUUUUCAAAAAAUGUAAACCAACAAUGCAGCAGCAAAUGGCUUUUUGUGCAUCUGGAUUAAAUAAAGCACAGAAUGAAUAUAUUUAAAAAGAGGGCUGCGCAAGU
rnacentral:lncRNA from 1 species